GGGCAAGGGGCAUCUGAGGGCUAAGGAGGAGCAACUAAGAGAGCAGAGAAAGCAGCGGAGAUUUGACAUCAGGAGCUGAACUCUUCCCAACUGCCCUGGGAAACUACAGAGCGCACGCUUUACCCCUACUCGAAGCAGUGUCUGGGUAGAAGGCGGCGUUGCUGAAAGCCUGGGCACUUUUAUCCUGAAGACACAGACCGAGCAAAGUGGAGCAUUAUUUAUUUCAUCCUGGAAUCUACGUUGCAUUUACUGAUGGAACUUUGAAGAACAAAGAGAACUCACCCUUCUUUGAAAUAUGGGCACUGAAAGUGCAACUUCUACUUUUAGCUACCUAAUAAAUUUCUUCCUUCA